rnacentral:rRNA from 1 species
AACGAACGCUGGCGGCAUGCCUAACACAUGCAAGUCGAACGAGACCUUCGGGUCUAGUGGCGCACGGGUGCGUAACGCGUGGGAAUCUGCCCUUGGGUUCGGGAUAACAGUUGGAAACGACUGCUAAUACCGGAUGAUGACUUCGGUCCAAAGAUUUAUCGCCCAGGGAUGAGCCCGCGUAGGAUUAGCUAGUUGGUGAGGUAAAGGCUCACCAAGGCGACGAUCCUUAGCUGGUCUGAGAGGAUGAUCAGCCACACUGGGACUGAGACACGGCCCAGACUCCUACGGGAGGCAGCAGUGGGGAAUAUUGGACAAUGGGCGAAAGCCUGAUCCAGCAAUGCCGCGUGAGUGAUGAAGGCCUUAGGGUUGUAAAGCUCUUUUACCCGGGAAGAUAAUGACUUAC